rnacentral:rRNA from 1 species
UGGGGAAUCUUGCGCAAUGGCCUAACGGCUGACGCAGCGACGCCGCGUGUGGGAUGAAGCUCUUCGGAGUGUAAACCACUGUUGCCCGGGACGAAUAGCUCGAUUAAUCGAGCCUGACGGUACCGGGUGAGGAAGCACCGGCUAACUCCGUGCCAGCAGCCGCGGUAAUACGGGGGGUGCGAGCGUUGUCCGGAAUCACUGGGCGUAAAGGGCGCGUAGGUGGUUUGAUAAGGGUGUGGUGAAAGCCCGGAGCUCAACUCCGGGUCUGCCGUGCCGACUGUCAAACUCGAGGACUGUAGAGGCAGACGGAAUUCCGGGUGUAGCGGUGGAAUGCGUAGAGAUACGGAGGAAGACCGGUGGCGAAGGCGGUCUGCUGGGCAGUUUCUGACACUGAGGCGGGACAGCGUGGGGAGCAAACAGG